UCAAGUUUACAAGUAAAAAAUAAUGUUUAAAAAAAUUAAAAUGCUGACACACGUAGCAAACUGUGAAGACCACCUAGCUCUAUGGGUGUGUGGCCCUACAGGAGAACAGGCGAGCUGGCUGCCUCCAGCUGCCCUUUGCCAUCCCUGAAGCCUGGGACGAUCCACUGUUUGUCUCUCUGGGGCUUCCCCACGUGGACCGUGAUGCUAGGAGCUGAGGGGUGAGCAGGUGAGGCUGCGAGUGGGCGGCGGGUGGCAGUCCUCUCUUGUUCUGAGUCUGCGCUUGCCUUGCCCCUGACUUUGAACUCAAGGUUUCACUUUCUUGACGGAUACUCUUUGCUUAAAGCUACCUUUGCUACUAAAAUGGAUUCUCAUGAAAUACUCAGAAAUAAACCUCUUGACUGUAAAUACCAUUACAUUAUAAGAAAUGCCCACAUUUGUGUGUGGUUACGUCUUGUGGGACAGACUCCACUGGGCCUUCGAGGUGAAAAUUACUCAUUUUUGUCAUUUCCAAAACCUGAUAUUCUUUCACUAUAAUGUGGCAACUUCUCAGUUCUUUAAACUCUUCUUUUUUCUUUAAAUUCUCAUGAAUUGACGGUUCCUGUUUUCUGAACUAUUUGUUGAACCUCUGUCUGUGUUAGGCUCACGGCACCCUUGUUCAAGAACUGGGAAACACACCCAAAAGUCCCUGCAUAAAAUGUGACUUUCCAGUCCCUCGCGCCUCCGCCCUCGCUCUGUAAUUGUGUAACCUGGAGUGAUGGGCGUGAAAGGAGGAAAAGAGCAGGAAAAUGCAUCUUUAGGACUAUGUUGGCCAAAGUUCUGAUUGUCUCAUGAGGUUCUUGGCGUGAGGUGAGACUGUGCCCUACUGCUCACGUCCUGUUUGCCUGAGGUGUCACUGGAGACCACACAUGGUGCCUUGGUGCCUUCCUGGCGUGAGUGAGGGGCAGGCUAGGGGCCCCUCUUGUCCCCCACCUCCCCUUUUGAAGCCUGGACAACCUCAGGGCCCCAGUGCACCAGACAGGGACGGGGGAACAGGAGGAGAACGGGCAGCUCAGCCAGUCUCACCCGUGCCCUGAGACACAGCAGCCCACGAUGCAGAGCAGCUUUGCUUAAAACGUGCAGUAGAUGCUGCAGGUCAGCCCCACUGGUGAUGAGAGACUCUUUCCAGUACCCAGAGGUGCCUGUGGCACGGGGCACCCCCGGCUAACUGCAGAGCUUCUGGUGAGAGACACUGCUGAGGCUGUGGAAGAGCUACCUGGGCAGGGCUCACAAAGAAAGUUAUAUUCUCUUGGAAAUACUUUAUUUGAAUAAUUCUAAAAGGCUAAGGAGCCCCGGUGGCACAGUGGUUAAAUUGCUUGGUUGCCAACUGAAAGGUCAACGGUUCAAACUCACUGGUUUCUCCACAGGAGAAAGAUGUGGCAAUCUGCUUCCAUAAAGAUUACAGCCUUGGAAAUGCUAUGGGGCAGUUCUAUGCUGUCCUGUAAGGUCACUGUGAGUCUGAAUCAACGUGACAGUGGUUUUUUUUUUUUUUUUUAAAUAAAGGCUUUAAUCUGUAUCUGGUCUUGGAAAGUAGAAUCCAGCAAGGCUAGACAGGAGGCCUGUUGGAGACACCUAGUAUUUAGAGUGAGGCUGGGAGCCCUGGCUCUGCCUCUAGCUGUGUACCCUUGAGCUGUCAAGAGCUUCAGUUUGCUUAUCCACAACAUGGAAUUAAUGAUACCCAGCCAUUGUGGCACUGAUAGGAGGGUUAAACAAGGUAAUAGACAUAAAGCACCGGCUCACACUGGUCCAUUGAAGGCACUUCAUACCCAGUAGUUUUCUACCUCCUAUGGCUGCCAGGAGGCCCUGUUGGCGUUAAAUUGGUUCACUAAUAGGGUUUAAGCAGCAUAGGUAACUUCCCCUAAUUCCUGCAGGAGGAAUAAGUGAAAACCUCAACCGUGAGAACCAAGGGCUCCUCUCUUCCACCACUAGAGGACUGAGAAAUGGUAUGCUGUUUUGAAUCAGCUUACUCAGGAAUUCAGGGGGGGUGUUUUGUUUUGUUUUUUAAAUCUAUUUCCUAAAAUAUAAAGCAGGAUUUCCAUCUCAAAAGGAUGUCCAUUGCCUGCCGCUGACUAUUCAUUUUCAUAGAGAAUGAUAGAAAUUAGGGAGGGCAGAUUCUAACCAUUUUAGUACCAGGAGGAUGGGUGGUGAGGAGGACAUGCUGUCGGAGGGCUGUGUAAGGACUGGGGGAGGCAGCUGCUUGCCCCCUCUCGAGUGGCCCUUCCUGUUCUGUCCAAGUGCCUCCUCUGAUGGACUCAGGGUGAACAGCAGAGCAGGUGAUAAGCACGUUGGACAGGUUAGAGUAACGGGCCAGUCAUUUUCUCACUGGGACCCUCCUGGUGUGCAGUCACCUCUCCUGCUGCUGGGUGGCAGUCUGCACUCAUUUUGCCUCACUCCUCCCCUCUGAGGAGGUGGCUUGGAGCAGGCUCAUCUGGGGACUUCAAAGGGACCUCCACACAGACAGAGCCUUGCUGGGCCACCUGUCUGCAGAAGCCAGGCUCAGCAGUGCCCUCUCAGAAAGCUCAUCUGAAGCAAACCAGAGGCAUCCAAGCCCUGAACUCUGAGGAUGCGACCGUGUAUAAACAGCUAAAACAACCAUCGUCAACAACCGAGCGUGCGUGUUCUGGAUGUCCAAGGUAACUUACUGCUAAUACCUAAUUCGUGGCUCCAUGGCGUUAGCUAGCUUUGCCAAAAACCCCACCACGCUUGAGGAUGGAGGGAAGGAAGAGCAGGAGACAGGGAGGCAGGACCCCAUCGGGGGAAUUCCUGGACUCUGCUCCUGAGGAACCGGCUUUUGCUGAGUGUCUGCAUUAUCGCCACUCACCCCACUCAUUGAUGGGAUUACAUCACACACUGGUUUGUAUGGUAUGUCUGAUGACCCCCUUCAUCCCCAUUUGUGAAACAGGCUCAGGGAGGUAGUGUCUGUGUUUAGUUAGGCACCUGGGAGUCUGGGGUGCUGGCCCUUGAGGACCAUCUCUAGUAGGGUGACGCAGGGCUCCACUCUUGGUCUAUGCUGACUCAAAGGAUCUGCUUCAUCAUUUAGAUGAAGGUGGAAAGGGUCUGAGUCUCAAACUUGCAGAUGACAGAAAGCUUUGCAUUUUAUGUUAGAGGAUUGAAAAAAAAAAAAACAUUGCUGUGAAAUUGAUUCUGACUUUC